AUUGAUUAUGACGUGCUUGUACUGAUUGAGAUUUUAACACGAAGUGAGUGGCGAACGGGUGAGUAACACGUGGGUAACCUGCCCAGAAGUAGGGGAUAACACCUGGAAACAGAUGCUAAUACCGUAUAACAGAGAAAACCGCAUGGUUUUCUUUUAAAAGAUGGCUCUGCUAUCACUUCUGGAUGGACCCGCGGCGUAUUAGCUAGUUGGUGAGGUAAAGGCUCACCAAGGCAGUGAUACGUAGCCGACCUGAGAGGGUAAUCGGCCACAUUGGGACUGAGACACGGCCCACACUCCUACGGGAGGCAGCAGUAGGGAAUCUUCCACAAUGGACGCAAGUCUGAUGGAGCAACGCCGCGUGAGUGAAGAAGGGUUUCGGCUCGUAAAGCUCUGUUGUUAAAGAAGAACGUGGGUAAGAGUAACUGUUCACCCAGUGACGGUAUUUAACCAGAAAGCCACGGCUAACUACGUGCCAGCAGCCGCGGUAAUACGUAGGUGGCAAGCGUUAUCCGGAUUUAUUGGGCGUAAAGCGAGCGCAGGCGGUCUUUUAAGUCUAAUGUGAAAGCCUUCGGCUCAACCGAAGAAGUGCAUUGGAAACUGGGAGACUUGAGUGCAGAAGAGGACAGUGGAACUCCAUGUGUAGCGGUGAAAUGCGUAGAUAUAUGGAAGAACACCAGGGGCGAAGGCGGCUGUCUGGUCUGCAACUGACGCUGAGGCUCGAAAGCAUGGGUAGCGAACAGGAUUAGAUACCCUGGUAGUCCAUGCCGUAAACGAUGAUUACUAAGUGUUGGAGGGUUUCCGCCCUUCAGUGCUGCAGCUAACGCAUUAAGUAAUCCGCCUGGGGAGUACGACCGCAAGGUUGAAACUCAAAAGAAUUGACGGGGGCCCCCACAAGCGGGGGAGCAUGUGGUUUAAUUCGAAGCUCCGCGAAGAACCUUACCAGGUCUUGA
rnacentral:rRNA from 1 species